UACAUGAUGUCCUAGAAGCACCUAAAAGGUA
rnacentral:piRNA from 1 species